rnacentral:lncRNA from 1 species
AAGCUGGUCAUAGCCCCACCUUCUUGAAGCUCAGGGAAGAGCAGAGCCACCCCGGAGAGAACUUGGAGGAAGAGGAAGACAAUAGUUUCCUUGGAAGAGCUGUGAGUCCUAGAAAAAGCCAGCCAGGAGAGAAUGUGGAGGCAGAGGAAGACAAUAGUUCCCUUGGAAGAGCUGUGACUACUAGAAAAUGUACUGUCCUGGUGA